ACUUGUAUUUGUAAGGAUGCUUUGGUGGUGAUGUUGGUGGAGGUGGUGGGGACUUGUACUUGUAAGGGUGCUUGGGUGGUGAUGGAGGUGGAGGUGGUGGAGACUUAUACUUGUAAACUGGAGGUGGUGGGGGUGGAGACUUGUACUUGUAGGGGUGCUUGGGUGAUGAUGGAGGUGGAGGUGGUGGAGACUUAUACUUGUAAACUGGAGGUGGUGGGGGUGGAGACUUGUACUUGUAAGGGUGCUUGGGUGGUGAUGGUGGGGGUGGGGACUUGUACUUGUAGGGGUGUUUAGGUGGUGAUGGUGGUGGUGGUGGUGGGGACUUGUACUUGUAAGGAUGCUUGGGUGGUGAUGGUGGUGGAGGUGGAGGAGACUUGUACUUGUAAGGAUGCUUGGGUGGUGAUGGUGGUGGAGGUGGUGGAGACUUAUACUUGUAAACAGGAGUUGGUGGGGGAGGAGAUUUGUACUUGUAAGGUUUCUUGUGUGGUGGUGGUGGAGGAGAGUAGACCGGAGGAGGCGGUGGGGGAGACUUGUAAUGGUAGGGUGGUGGUGGGUAUUUCUUAGGAG
rnacentral:lncRNA from 1 species